CCACCGUGCUCGGCCUGUGUUUUUAUUUUUAAACCUUAGUAUUUCUGAAUAACAAUGGGUAGAGAAACACCCACAGUAGCUGUCUACAAUAGAGUGAAAUAAAAAGCCUGAGGAACUGUCAACAGAAAAAUGGGUGGCCGUGGGGAGCACCGGGGCCUGCACUUGCACAUAAUCUAGGGCAGCUUCUAAUGAGUCUAUGAGUUAUUCAGGAAUCUCAUUAAAAUGAGAUCAGCCUUGGGUGGGAUUUUCUUCUUUAUAGACUUCUGUCACCAUAUUUUGAAGAGCAAGGGUUUAGUUGAUUUUAAGCAGGUGUGUACCCACCUGGACAGUGCUUGUAGAAAAACAGAACUAUACCCAUGGAUUUCAUGAUUAUACUACUAGCUUCUUGGUUAAGGGGCUGAGUUAGGCAUUCAUUGCAGAUAGAAACAAGGUAGAUGCAUGCGUAUCAGUGAGUACUGAGAUAUUUAGCAUGGUUACCUAUGAAUUGGAGUUUGGUCUCUUCUUAGCCAUUAAUUGAUUAUCUUUCAUUCUAAGCAAGUAUUUCAUACCCUGCAUGUCAGUAUAUCCCUGGAUUUCGUCCCUCCACAUGGUUUGACACUUUUGAACAUCAGAUUACCUAAGAGUGAGACUUAACCCACUUUUAAAUUGUUCUUAAAAUCAGGGAAAUAAAAGAGAAUGAAAUUGUGGCAACUUUUUUCCCUCCUAGUUACCAGAUGUAUGCUAUUCAUGGUGGGUCCUGGCUUCCCUAAAGAUAAUUGGAAGACUUCAUUGGAUUGAUAGAGAGAAACUGCGUAAUUUCAUCUUAGCAUGUCAAGAUGAAGAAACGGGGGGAUUUGCAGACAGGCCAGGAGAUAUGGUGGAUCCUUUUCAUACCUUAUUUGGAAUUGCUGGAUUGUCACUUUUGGGAGAAGAACAGAUUAAACCUGUUAAUCCCGUCUUUUGCAUGCCUGAAGAAGUGCUUCAGAGAGUGAAUGUUCAGCCUGAGCUAGUGAGCUAGAUUCAUUGAAGUGAAAGUUGCAUAGUAUAGUUUUGCCAUUUUAACAUUUCUGUAUUUGAAGUGCUUAUUGAAUCUAAAAAUGACUACUGUUAAUAUUUUGUAUAUUGUGUUAAAUUAAUUUUAAUAAAUUAUAUAAUUAUACAUAUUGUAAAAUAAAGACCGGUAUUUUAUUUUCUGCUUUUUA
rnacentral:sRNA from 1 species